rnacentral:rRNA from 1 species
GACAGAGGGGGCAAGCGUUGCUCGGAAUCACUGGGCGUAAAGGGCGCGUAGGCGGGAUGGCAAGUCGGUCGUGAAAUCCUUCGGCUCAACCGAAGAACGUCGGCCGAUACUGCCGUUCUUGAGGGAUGCAGAGGAGAUUGGAAUUCCUGGUGUAGCGGUGAAAUGCGCAGAUAUCAGGAGGAACACCGAUGGCGAAGGCAGGUCUCUGGGCAUUAACUGACGCUGAGGAGCGAAAGCAUGGGGAGCGAACAGG